rnacentral:rRNA from 1 species
AGAAUCAACGCUGGCGGCGUGCCUAACACAUGCAAGUCGAACGAGAAAGUGGAGCAAUCCAUGAGUAAAGUGGCGCACGGGUGAGUAACACGUGACUAACCUACCCUUGAGUGGGGGAUAACCUAGGGAAACCUGGGCUAAUACCGCAUAAUACCUUCGGGUCAAAGGAGCAAUUCGCUUAAGGAGGGGGUCGCGGCCGAUUAGUUAGUUGGCGGGGUAAUGGCCCACCAAGACUGUGAUCGGUAUCCGGCCUGAGAGGGCGCACGGACACACUGGAACUGAAACACGGUCCAGACUCCUACGGGAGGCAGCAGUGGGGAAUUUUGCGCAAUGGGGGAAACCCUGACGCAGCAACGCCGCGUGGAGGAUGAAGUCCCUGGGACGUAAACUCCUUUCGAUCGGGACGAUUAUGACGGUACCGGAAGAAGAAGCCCCGGCUAACUUCACGCCAGCAGCCGC